GACGUCUUAGAGCAGGAGGAACUUAUUUCACUCAUAUGAGUUACAAAUCAGCACACAAACAGGACAGAACCAGGAGAAAUAAACAUGCUGUACUUGCUGGGAAUCGUUGUUGGCCUUCUCUUCAUCAUAAUGUGCUUUUCAAAAGGACUCAAAGAGGGAAUUCAACCCCCAAAACUACAACCACCUGAAUCAUCUACCAACAAUAAAAAAAACAAUCUGAGUGAGGAAGAUGUGCAGUUACUGGCCAGGAUCCUCUCAGUUGGAUUGGUGGAUGCGGACCCAAACUAUCUUCACCAUCUUAAAGGCUACAGGGACUUGCGUGGUGCCUGAUUUUUUAUUUUAAAAAAAGAAAUACAGCAACUACAGAAAUGAAUGGACAGCAUAGCGCUGUCCCUGGAUAUAUCCAUGGAUGUGUGAUGACAUCAAAUCAUCGGCAUCAUGUUUUGGAUUACCAAGUUCAAUGACUUCCGCAAGUCUUCCAGAUGUUCCACGAUUGAUGGAAAAUUAUGCUGUUUAUUCAUGUCAAAUAUGACAUGAAAUGGAAAUAACUUCUCCUUCGCCAUGGUGCUUUAUAUGGAUGUGAUCAUUUUGAUGCUGGAUCCUGACUGCUUCGUUUAUUGAUUGCGUGAUUUGUGGAGAGAAGCCUCUGAUAUCAACAUUCGACAUUUGCCUUUUUUACAUCAAGAAAUGUAGAAACUGAAAAAGUAGAAACAGGAGGACUGGUGUUGUUGCUGUCAGUGGUACAUGCUUUGCUUGGCUUCUUUUAAUGUUCAUGUCGCAUGUUUCCGGUGUCAAUGUUAAAGGUUCAGUGUGUCAGAUUUAGUGGCAUCUUCAGUAACAAAACUGAAACUUCUCCCAUGUGCUAAACAUUUAGAACUAAUGUGACGGACGCGAUAAAUGAGAUUAGCCCUAUCUGGAGCUAAUGUUUGAUUUGUCCAUUUUGGGCUAAAGUAGAAACAGCAUGGUGGACUCCAUGGAAGAGGACCUGCUCAGUAUAUAGAUAUACAGAUACAGCUCGUUCAAAAGUAACAAAAACACAACAAUUCUUAUUUUGAGUGACUAUAAACUAAUGAAAACAUAUUUAAAAGUAUUUUUUUGCCAUUUCUGCCAAUAUAUGCCCCUAAAUCCUACAAACUGGACCUUUAAAUACUCCUUUGUUGAGCUAAAACUAAGCUAACAUUUACAUCGGAGGUAUAUAAUUACACAGUGUAACAGUUGUAGACAGAUUUAGCACAGAGAGAAGUUAACCUUUUUAAAGUGAAACUGUAACUUUUAUUUAACAAAUGCAACUAUGGCUAAAAGUAAUGGUCUAAUGCUAGCUAGAGUUUUAGCUACAUGUUAAACUGUAGUUUCCUGUUUGCUAAACAGUAGUUAAGUAUUUAGCUGAAAUGCUGACAGUAGCACAGCCAUAUAGUCACUUUAGUGACUGGGUGAUGUGUGUUAUACAGAAAUAUUUACCUAAUGUUUGCUAACUUUAGCAAACAUUUGCCACCAUAAACUUCUGUGCACACCAGACCAACAAAAGGCUGUAGCAGCAAAACCCCUGAGUGCUUUUUGUUUGUUUGUUUCAGCAAUAGAGCCUUGUAUUGCUUAGAAAUCCAACAUUUAAUUUAAAGAGGAAGGAUGUGUUACAUUCUCAUUCAAAAGUUACAAAGUCUUGCUUUAAAGUAUUAAAGUGUGGCCAUUUUAAUGUUGCAGAGAGGCUGAAUUA